rnacentral:rRNA from 1 species
UACGAGGGGGGCGAGCGUUGUUCGGAAUUAUUGGGCGUAAAGGGUGCGUAGGCGGUUUUGUAAGUCUUAUGUGAAAUCUAUGGGCUCAACUCAUAGACUGCAUGAGAAACUGCAGGGCUUGAGUAUGGGAGAGGUGAGUGGAAUUCCUGGUGUAGCGGUGAAAUGCGUAGAUAUCAGGAGGAACACCUGUGGCGAAAGCGGCUCACUGGACCAUAACUGACGCUCAGGCGCGACAGCGUGGGGAUCAAACAGG